UUUUUUUUUUUUUUUUUUUUUUUUUUGGCUGCUCCUGUGGCACAUGGAAGUUCCCAGGCCAGGGAUCAAACUCUUCACCACAGCAGUGACUCAAUUCGUUUCCGCUGCACCACGACGGGAACUUCAGGGGAAAGGAUUAUUUAAAAAAAAAAGAAAAAACAGCUCCCUCCUUUCUUAAACAAAUGGAUUUUUCUGUAUCUCAGUUAUAAGAGGAAUCAGAUGGAUGAGGAUAUGCAAUGGGCAUAGUGAAUGUUUUCUCAUCCAUUUUCAUACCCUCAUGCCCCUGGAUGAUCUAGGAAUCCAGGUUUAAGCCCAUCGGUUGGUGGCGUUCAUCAAUUUCUGAUCAUGAGGAGCAAUUAAUGAAUGAAUUCUAAUUUGGAAAAGCAGAGAAGGGAGUUUUCUGGGGCUACAAUUAAAUUGUACUCUCACAGGAGAGAGUCACAAGAAAAGACUUUUUCUCUUUUCCUGGACGUGGUUGUGGUUACCAGGCUUGGAAUCACUGUAGAGGCUAUUUUGAUAUUUGUCUGGAGACAAAGCUCACAUGUGGAGACAGCAGAGAAUUUCUGAGACACGGAACUGGAGCCCCCUAGAUAGAGUUGGUUCCCAAAGCCUGACUCAACCUUUGUACAUCCAACUCUAUGAGCCAAUAAAAAUUCUUAUUUUUUCUGCCAAGUUGAAUUGGACUUUUUCUUACUGUCAACCAACUUCUCUGCUAACACAGUGUAGAAGCAGGCAUAGAAUCAGCAUGGCUGUGGUGUUGGCAUCUAUUCUGAGCGUCUAGCUGGUCCCCAGUGAUGCGGUAGUGUGACCUCUGUGACCUUCUGCAAUGGGGAAGCAUAUGUACCUAUGUGCCCUAUAUCAUCCUCCCGCUGACCAGGCCCAUUCCUCCUCCUUAGGGGAUCCAUCCUGCCGGCUGUUGGCUGUUCUGCUUACAUAAUAUGAAACUCCUUCCUUCUCCCUCUCUACCUCUCUCACCCAGUCCUGAUUGGCUUGGAAGUGAGUGGCUGACUCAGAAGUAAGCUGGGCUGAGCAAUCAGAUUUUCUGUCUUGUGAACCUGAUGUGGAAAUUGUUUGUUGUCACAGAGUACUUUUAACUGGAAGGUUGGAUGGAUUGCAAAUGUGGAGUGGCUAUUUUUGUGCCAAGGGCUUAACAAAGCAAAGAAAGCUGGUUGGCAGAAGCAGAAUUGGCAAGAAACAGACGUGGAGAAAAGUGUCCCAGGAAGACAGAUCCUUUACUGCCUGGUUCAGGUCUUCCAUGAGACCUGGCUCCAACUUCCUGCCUUCAAGGUCAAAUCUUCCUCUUUCCUUUGUAGCUCUGAAGGGCUUCUGUUUCCUGUGACCAGAGAAACUUGGCUGAGACAAAAAGGGGCGGUUUUCACCUCAAUUUACAGAUGAUACAACUGAAGAUGAGAAAGGUUAACCGAAGCUGAUUUGUAGCAAGCUGGGAGUCAGCCUAGAUUUCCUAACUUUAUAACCUUUAUUUUUCACAUUUCUCUUGCUGGUUAAGUGAUGAAGAGAGACAGAGUCAUCUACUUUACUCCUAAAACAUCCUGAGAGCAUUGCCCAUCAUCUCUCAGAGAAAAGAGAGUCAGCGUUCAGCCGCUUUGUAAUAUCCUUGACAAAAAUUGAAUGGAUUGCAAACUGCCAGACUGAAAACUCCAUAGUAAACUGGGUUCAAUCACUUUAAGUCUGUUUACUUAAAUACUGAUACACAAGUGUAGCUUCUUUAAAUUCUUGAAGAAUAGCAGCUUUGGCAGUGGUACUACAGUUAUUAAUUAUCUUUAAAUAAAUAUCUGUUGCUGUGUAUGCUGGGGCACUCCUGUAUAGAGUUGCCCAUGCAAGAAGCAACCCACUCCAGGUAGCAGCUGACCCUGGGAGUGUCUGCAGCUGUGAAUUUUAAUCUGAAACUCACGAGAAACCAGAACUUAUUUUCUCCAGUCAUGGAAUUUUAAUACUUCUGACCUGUCUCUUCUGGCGAAGAAAUAUCCCAUCUCACCUCAAUGAAGCUGCUCUGGAGAAUAGCUGCUGUUGAUUUCUGCAGUGACCACCCCGCAUUGGUCCCUCAAAUUAAUUUUAGCAUAUGACACAUAGCCUCCAAAUUUAAUGAAAAUCCACUCAGCCAUUAUCUGCGAUACGACAAACAGACUGAAACUUAAUUAUAUUGACAUGGAUUGGAGCUAAUGCUGUCAUAUUUUGCUAGAAAAGCCAUCUCUUUAGGAGCGAUUACAAUUAGAUGUUCGAUUUGGAAAGUGCAACUGUGGAGAAAUGUCUGUGCAGACAAAUGGCAUCUGUACCUUUGGGACAGCCAUCUGGCCAGGGAUUGAAUGUCGUCCUCAUUCAUCCACCUAAUCACAACCUGACUUUGGUCGAAUGGCCUUGAGAAGUGUUGGAUUGUAUGUUAGAACAAGAAAAGACUUCCAAUAAUAUUUAGCGUUAUUCUUGUAGGACCUCUAGCCCUUUUGGUCUUUGAAAGUGAUAAAGAAAACUUUGGUUUCAUGGUACCACCUCCUUUAAUAAGUGGAUUUGUACAACCUUCCUCUGUGUGCAUGCCCAAGUAAAGAAUAUUAAAGGUCUGAUGGUGGAGUUCCCAUUGUGGCGCAGUGGUUAACGAAUCUGACUAAGAACCAUGAGGUUGCGGGUUUGAUCCCUGGCCUUGUUUGGUGGGUUAAGGAUCCCGCAUGGCUGUGAGCUGUAGUGUAGGUCCCAGAUGUUGCUUGGAUCCAGCAUUGCUGUGGUUGUGACAUAGGCCAGCGGCUACAGCUCUGACUCAACCCCUAGCCUGAGAGCCUCCAUAUACCACGAGUGGGACCCUAGAAAGACAAAAAGACAAAAAAAAAAAAAAAAA
rnacentral:lncRNA from 1 species